rnacentral:rRNA from 1 species
AAGACCUUGCGCUUUUGGAGCGGCCGAUGCCUGAUUAGCUUGUUGGUAAGGUAAAAGCUUACCAAGGCUUCGAUCAGUAGCUGGUCUGAGAGGACGGCCAGCCACACUGGGACUGAGACACGGCCCAGACUCCUACGGGAGGCAGCAGUGGGGAAUCUUGGACAAUGGGGGCAACCCUGAUCCAGCCAUGCCGCGUGAGUGAAGAAGGCCUUCGGGUUGUAAAGCUCUUUCAGCCGGAACGAAACGGUUACGGUUAAUACCCGUGAUUACUGACGGUACCGGAAGAAGAAGCACCGGCUAACUACGUGCCAGCAGCCGCGGUAAUACGUAGGGUGCGAGCGUUAAUCGGAAUUACUGGGCGUAAAGCGUGCGCAGGUGGUUUUGUAAGUCAGAUGUGAAAGCCCCGGGCUCAACCUGGGAACU